rnacentral:rRNA from 1 species
CAGCAGCCCGCGGUAAUACGAGCUCCCCGAACGUUAUUCGGUAUUACUGGGCUUAAAGAGUUCGUAGGCGGCCCGACAGGUGAGGUGUGAAAUCCCUCGGCUCAACCGAGGAACUGCGCUUCAAACCGUCAGGCUUGAGGGAGAUAGAGGUGAGCGGAACAGAUGGUGGAGCGGUGAAAUGCGUUGAUAUCAUCUGGAACACCGGUGGCGAAAGCGGCUCACUGGAUCUUUUCUGACGCUGAGGAACGAAAGCUAGGGUAGCGAACGGGAUUAGAUACCCCGGUAGUCCUAGCCGUAAACGAUGAGCACUAGCCCGUGGGGACUCUCACAUCCUCUCGGGCGUAGCGAAAGUGUUAAGUGCUCCGCCUGGGGAGUAUGGUCGCAAGGCUGAAACUCAAAGGA